GUGAAGGCGACGCUGAACCCGGUGUGGAACGAGGCCUUCCUCUUCUCGCUGCGGCCCGGGGACGCGGAGCGGCGGCUGUCGGUGGAGGUUUGGGACUGGGACCGAACCUCUCGGAACGAUUUCAGGGAAAAUGGAGAAAAAAUGGGAAAAAUCAGGAAAAA